rnacentral:misc_RNA from 1 species
GUGAGGGGAGAGAGUUAGUUGCAAGAGAAGGAGAGGAGAAAGCAUGGCUGAGAGUGAGACCAAACCGAGUUACCGAAUAACCAAACUGAAAAGCCGAUAACUCAAUUUGUUUUUCAAUUAAAAACCAAUGAAUGUUCAAACCUAAACAUGCAUAAGUAGUAUUGAGUUGACAUAACAUGGUCCAAUUCCAUAAUGCACUAAAUCUUGC